UUUCUCUCCAUCUCACGCAGCACCCUCUCUCUCUCUCUCCCUCUUCUUUCUUUUCUUUUCCUUCUCUUUUCUUCUUUCAUUUUUCCCUCAACCCACGCACAGCCCCCAGCCUUUUUCUUCUCCUUCCCUCUCCUUUUUCUUCCUCUCUUCUCCUCCUCUCCCGCACGCUGCAUCUCUUCUCCCCGUUUCUCCGUUCGUCCUUUCUUGUCCUACCCACAGCAGACCGUGAGAGACACAAAGAGUUCGUAUGAGAGAUCAAAUCGCGAGGGGCUGAGAUUGGGAAAGAAGCCGAGAUGCAGAGAAUCUUUUAGUGGAUUCUUGGCCAUUGGUGUGCGAUUUUGGAAGCUAUGGUGGCUGGGCCACCGUCGAGUCAUGGGAGGCAACGGCUGGGCGGUGGAUUCCGGCUUUGAUUCGAAUCAUGUCCGGAUUGGAGACUUUAAUUGGUUCUCCAAUGUAGAGUUCAAGUAACUAGAACACGGGGGGAAAUGUUGGAGUCAUGAGUCCUAUGCAGCCAAGAUGAUGUUCCUUUGGCUGCAGGUACUCUAGUAUAGUUAAUGGUUUGGUAGCAGUGUACAUGAGAUGUUAUGACUGAAGUUCGUCGCGACGGUCGUAAUUGCUGGACCAUGGGUGUCCACUGUUUUAUAAGUUUGGUAUAUUUCUUGUGACGCUUGUAUCACAUAUUCUUUGUAAAAUCAUUCUUUAAUGCAAUUAUUACAUUGAUAAGCCUUAAACAGAUAGAUAUUAUGGCUCUUUUUGUGUAAUUACCAAUUUAUGUAUAUAGAUGUGACUUUUGCUGUUCA